UAGCUCAGUUGGUAGAGUAUGGGACUAUUAAUCCCAGGAUCAUGGGUUUAAGCCCCAC
rnacentral:tRNA from 1 species